rnacentral:rRNA from 1 species
UGGGGAAUACUGCACAAUGGGCGCAAGCCUGAUGCAGCCAUGCCGCGUGUGUGAAGAAGGCCUUCGGGUUGUAAAGCACUUUCAGCGAGGAGGAAAGGUGGUGAACUUAAUACGUUCAUCAAUUGACGUUACUCGCAGAAGAAGCACCGGCUAACUCCGUGCCAGCAGCCGCGGUAAUACGGAGGGUGCAAGCGUUAAUCGGAAUUACUGGGCGUAAAGCGCACGCAGGCGGUUUGUUAAGUCAGAUGUGAAAUCCCCGGGCUCAACCUGGGAACUGCAUUUGAAACUGGCAAGCUAGAGUCUCGUAGAGGGGGGCUAGAAUUCCAGGUGUAGCGGUGAAAUGCGUAGAGAUCUGGAGGAAUACCGGUGGCGAAGGCGGCCCCCUGGACGAAGACUGACGCUCAGGUGCGAAAGCGUGGGGCAGCAAACAGGAUUAGAUACCCU